AGCAGCCGCGGUAAUUCCAGCUCCAAUAGCGUAUAUUAAAGUUGUUGCAGUUAAAAAGCUCGUAGUUGAAUUUCGAGACCGGUUUACUGGUCGUGCUUUUGUACGUACUGGUAUUAUUGGUUUCUCCUUUCUGACGAAUCAUAAUGCCAUUAAUUUGGUGUUUUGGGGAAUCAGGACUGUUACUUUGAAAAAAUUAGAGUGUUUAAAGCAGGCUCACGCUUGAAUACAUUAGCAUGGAAUAACGAAAUAGGACGUUUGAUUUUAUUUUGUUGGUUUCUAGGAUCGACGUAAUGAUUAAUAGGGAUAGUUGGGGGCAUUAGUAUUCAAUUGUCAGAGGUGAAAUUCUUGGAUUUAUUGAAGACUAACUACUGCGAAAGCAUUUGCCAAGGAUGUUUUCAUUAAUCAAGAACGAAAGUUAGGGGAUCGAAGACGAUCAGAUACCGUCGUAGUCUUAACCAUAAACUAUGCCGACUAGGGAUC
rnacentral:rRNA from 1 species